GUUUAUAGAGAAACUUGUAAGCUAAGAACACACAGUAUGAAUACCCCUCCCUCCCAAGAACCAGACGUGCUUUUAUCUUGGACAGAGGCAAAAGGAAGAGAAAUAGCAGAAAGAGAGGAAAAAAACCCAGCCCCACUAGUGAACUGGCUCAUUAAGGAAAGCACAGUGACAGGUUGCUGAAAUAAACACCUCUCCUUCAUUUCAUUCCGUUACCAGACCUGGAUGGAAUUUUCCUUAUUUUAGUAGUGAGGACACAUGUGUCAGAUAGAGAAGUUAAGAUUUUACGAGUUUUCUAUGCCAUUUUUAGAAGAGAGUACUCGAGAAUAUUCAGCAGCUUUCAUCUCUCAGACACUUGAUGGAGCCUAAGGAGCAUUAAGACUAAACCUUAUCAAACACAACUACAAAACUGUGCAUUGUCAAUGUACUUCAGCCCACUCCUCUGGUCCAUCCAGAAGAGGUCACUGGAACAUCCAUUUGACAUUGACAUUUAUCUUUUUUUUUUCCUGUCAAGUAAAUUCUGAAUAAAGGACUUCACUAUGGCAUGAGUCUUUGAACAUUUGUGUACC